rnacentral:lncRNA from 1 species
AAGAAAGAUAUACGAAAGAAGAAGAAAAAGGAGAAUCCAAGGCGUGAAAGGGAUAGAGGCGGGAGACAGAGAAGACUUGAAAAAGUGGGAAAUAAAAUAAUAAGAUAGAGAGGAGAAAGCAGCUGGCAGAGACGAAAUUGGGGGGGGGGGGAGAGAUGGAGCUGCCUUUGGCAGCACGGGGUCAGAGAGGAUAGAGAUACGUGAGGGAAGCAAAUAAGAAAGAAGAAAGAAAAAAAAGUGAGGGACUGACAGAAAAGCAGAGGGCUGCCCUUUGGGCAGCGUGAGGCUGCGCAGAAAUAAAAGGGACAGUGCGGCAUGGCAGGAGAGAAGUGACGCAGGGAGUGAGGGCAGAAGCACAGAAACGCAGCAGAUCUUAUUCUCUCGGUUAAAUCUUUCCAACUUAUGAUUAAUUUUUUGUUUAAUUUUAGAAUAAUGUGUAGCUAAAUUUAUUUUGGCUAGAGGUUAAUUCAAAGCCAUGAAUAUAUUUGUAAUAUGAAUUGAUUACCUUCGGUUGUGAUUUCAUAAGUUGUGAUUUCAAUUUACUUAUCCGUUCGUAUAAAAACUGAUUUGUGUAUGUUGGUUGAGAGUGCACGCUUAAUUUACAUGCAUGAAUUUGAUGCUAGAAUAUAAGUGAAUUUCACCUAAUCGUUAUGAACUUAUUUUCACAAGUAGUAAAGGUUGCUAGUCACAAUCACGUUAAGUAAAUUCUUGGCAAGAGUAUCAUGCUUUUCAUAGUUACGAAUGCAUCGUCAAUGCUUAUAGUUUUCACAAAGUUUAAUGAUCUUUGAUUGUAUCUCUAUUGUGCUUUUCACGUAGGGGACUUUUGAAGAAUGUUUUGAAUUGUUGUAUGCGUUUUCCCGUCCAAUUCAAUAACUUAAGGAAAACUUGAAGAUUAAAAAAGUGCUGUUCACGGUUAAUCUGGAGUAUUGAGAUUCACAAUUUUAUUGAAAGAACAACUGAAAAUCAAUUUAGGUUGCAUAUGUGUCAUGUGUGUGGAGAAGAACCCUCUAGCUAGUCCGUCAUUUAUCAUUUUACCUUAAUUUUAUGUUUUGUCAAUUCUGUAAUUUAAUUAAGUUUAAUUUACUUUUCAUCAAAACCAAACACCUAUCCAUUAUUAAAUUAUUUUAUUUAUUUAGUUUUCUUUAUUGUUAGUCUUUUAAUUUAAUUUCCGUCCAUUUCAGUUCCUAGUGUUUAAUUUGAUUGUUUUCAUUAUUUUGAGUUAUCCUAAGUGUGUUUCGAGUUAUUAGAGUUUUUAGCCUAGUUUUGUGUCCUUGAGUCUUAUUUAAUAUUUUUAAAUUAAUUUAGAAUAGAUUAGCAAUCCCUCCUAAUCCCCGGCCUAGAACGAUACCCUACUUACAUCCAUACUACAAUUGUCAAAAAGAGGGUUUAAUUUGUGUGUCAAGAAAUUCUCACAUCAAAUUUUGGCGCCGUUGCCGGGGAUUAGUAACUUUGCUAAUCCUUUUAUUUUUGUUUUUGUUUAUGUUUAUAUUGGUGUUUGUGUAUUUUACUUUUGAUAUUUGAUUUAUUUUUCUUUCUUUGAUUUUAGGCACAAAUGGAGCUGAGGGAAAUUUAAAGGAAAGAUGCGUCCGGCUAAAGACGUUAAAUCAAGCGCUUCUUGGGAGGCAACCAAGCAUUCAACGAAGGGAGACUUUGGAAUCGCUAACCCAAUCAGAUUUGCAUUUUUACACCCUUAUCUUUACUGCUUUCAUUUUGUUUUGUUUAGUUAGUUGUGUUAUUUGUUUGAUUUCUGUGAGUUUGUGUUAUUUAGUUUAAGUGUGGGGGAAGGUUAACCAAAGUCUUUCUACUUUAAUUUACAUAAAAAAAAAAAAAAAAAAAAAAUUUAAAAAAAUGAUAUAAAAAAAAAAAAAAAAAAAAAAAGAUAAAAUUUAAAAUUAAUGAUAAAAAAAAGUACAUAAAAAAAAAUAAUAAAAAAAAAAAAAAUAAAUAAAUAAUAAUAAUAAAAAAAGUACAAAUAUUUUACAAUGAUGUAAACUAAUAGUAUUCAUUGGUCGGGUGGUGCUUCAGUAGUAGGCGGGGCUUCAGCAGUCGGCGGGACCACAGAAGGAGGAGGCGGCAGAGGUUGAUCAGUUGGAGCUUCACUACGCGGUGCCGCUCCAGAAGACGAAGGCAGAUGUUGUUGGAACAAACCCACAAACCUCCGAUGAUCAAGUAAAAUUUGACCAUCGGUGUCCUGCAUCUGGUCAAUCUUCCUCUUCAUGCUGGUGGCAUAGCUGUGUGCGAGCUUGUGCAAUUUCCUUAUUCUCAUGCUUGAGCCCUUUAAUCUCUUGCUUGAGACUCUGUAUUUCAGCCACCAAGGAUUCAACGUGACGGGUUCGGGCAUAUAGGCGUUGGGCCAUGUUGGAUACGGAACCCGCACACUGCACACUGAGAGCCAGAGACUCCUUGACCGCCAAUUCAUCAGACCGCCUUGCGAGCAGUCUGUUAUCUCUGGGAGUGACAAGGUUUCGGGCCACCACCGCAGCGGUCAUGUCAUUUUUUUCAUCAUCGAAUCCCCCACGGUAAGGGGACCGGUAGGGGAUAUGAAGGAUGGCCGCCAUAUGUUGUCUGGUGAAGGCGGAGCUGCCUCUUCACCAAUGUUCAAGUCAAAACGACGAUCAGAAGGGCCAGACAUUUUUCAGAGGUGGUAAAGAAAGAAGAGAGUCGGAUGAUCAAGAUUAAACAAGUGCAAGAAGGGAGUGUUUACAGGAGGGUAGCUCAAGUGUGUUGUGGAACAAAAUUAACGCCUCUAUAAAAAGAAGAAAUCAAAGAGGCGCUCCUCAGAGAUGCGUCCUCUCGCAAAUCGAAGAGUCGGGGCUCCUUUCUCAAAAGCCGGAUUCUUUUCUCAAAAGAGGAGUUUCCGUUCUCAAAAGCCGGAUUCUUUUCUCAAAAGAGGCGUUUCAUUUCUUAAAAGUUGGGCUUGCUCAGAAACCACGAGCCGAACCCCGGAUUUCGCAAGAUCAAUUCGUCCAGACGUGUUGUCACCCGUCACACGCAAACUCAGCUCUGCGAAAAUCACGAGCAGUCUGUCGAAGUGCCGAUUCCAACCAUCUGUCUCUCUCUCAGCCUAGUCAGCACUUGUCACAUGCAACUGGCAGCUUUGCGGAAAUUACGGGCAGCUUUGUCAGAAAGCGCGUAAUUUUGUAUUCUUCACCCAUCCACCGGCUGCCGACACUAAGUGAGAGAAACAGUUCCGGUUGUGAAGACAAGUCCUAUAAGUUUCUACCUUCGCCUUCCACAGCAAAAGCACACUCUCUCAGCACACCCUCUCAACACCUCUUCAUCUCCGAAAAUGCAUUCCCAAAGAAUCCUCUCGAGUCACUCUGUGUUCCUCAUUCCUUGGGAUACUCCUGCGAACAACCCAUUCAAAGCAAAAGUAUUUCAUAUCAUAAAGGUUGAAAGCAAGAGUAUCUCAUAUCAUGCUUUCUCCAUGUCCUUCUCCUUGUCUUUGUUUUCCGACAAGGAGAAAGAGAGCAAUCAGCCAGCAUUUGGUAUCAAUCUUCCGAUCUGGAGCCAACUGCCUGGAACCCCUUCCUGAUUGCUUACCUAGCCUUGCUCUCGAGUACUCAUCUUCAUCAUUUUAUGCUUUCUCUUCGUCUACCACAUCUGCCUGGGGGACAGUAAGGGAAGUGAAAAUGAUACCUCGAAGCAUGUGGAGACAAUUCAGCUAGGGACAAGGAGAAAGAAAGCAAGAGGUGGGCACUUGGAAAGAUUGAAGAAAGAAAAUAAGGACCAACACCUUUCCCUCGUGCCUGCCCGUUGUGCAGAAGAAACAAGCAGAGAAGAAUGCAGCUUGCACAAUCAUCCCAGCGGAAGGAGUCCGAACUGAGGAACUAGAGAAGCUGCCACAUCUGCUUGGAGAACAAAUAAGGAACUGCAACAUAACCAAAGAGCAAAGCUUCGCCGUACAAUAUCAUAAAAUCAUCACUUGCAAGUGAAAAGCUAAGUGUCACCCUGUUCAAGAGGAAAGCUGUGGAAAGUCAACAAGCACGACCAAUGAUUACUUAUUAGUUUUAUUCAUUAUCUUUUAUCGUAAUUUUCAAUUUUUCGUUUGCAAUUUUUUUUUAAUUAAUUUUCUUGCGUACUUAACUGAAUUAUUUCUUUUCUUUGCAGGAACUUUUGGUUAUUUCCACCCUUGAAGUUGAUUGCAGAAUUUUAGCUUGGGGGUCAUCGCUUGAUUUUACUGCAAAUUAGGGAAGUUUUCAGUCCAAUUGCUUUAUUUUUUUUUUUAUUAUUUUGUUUAUUUUAUUUAUUUUUUGCAUUAUAGUGUUUUCUGACAUUGGGGACAAUGUCAAGUUUAAGUGUGGGGGUAGAAAUCUCCAGAAUUUCAUUUGUCUCUGUGUUGUUGUUUUUUUUUGUGUUCUUAAUUAGUUUUGUUUUCUUUAAAAAAAAAAAAAAAAAUUAAAAAAAAUUUCGGAAAAUUUAAAAAUCCAAAAAUAUUGUCUUGUUUCCCUUAUUGUUUUGAAUUAGAUUUUUGUUAGUUUCCCGACCCAAUGAUAUAAUUAGAUCAAAUUUGAAUCACGAUUAUCAAGAACUUAGUUAACAUGUGUUUUAUGAAAUUCCUAAUUCUCUUGUUAGUUUUGUACAUGUUUGAUCAUCUUUGAAAAACCAAAUGCACAUAGCCUUGUUGAUGUGAAACUAAAGUAUGACUUAAAGCUUCAUAUGUGAAUUUAGUGACCAUAUACAUCCUAUGUGAGUUUUUGAGCCGAUUGAAAGUGUGUGCAUUUUUCAUACACUCCUAUUCUUUCAUGUGUGAUGAACUUAUGUGAGAUACAUCUCUAGAACUUGCGUAACGAUCUUUCGAAAUGUUUGUCAUUGAUUGCAUGAACUUGGAAAUGAUAGAGGCAUUAGGUUUACCACCAUGGCCCAAAUAACCAUGUUUCCCAAAGAAAAAUGAUAUCAUUAGAUUGCCAAUUUGAGCCGUGUAUGUUGAGCCUUUUAUUUCUUAUCACCAGAUAUGUCUACCCUUAUACCUGAAACAUUUUUCCUUACCCUUUCCAAGCGAGCAAUGCGAAAUUGUCUUAUGAGAAACGUUUGUGAAGUACUUUGAAGGUGUUUGGCAAAAGAAUAAGUGUGGGGGUAUUUCAUGUUUGUAAAAAAAAAAAAAAAAAAGGGAAAAAAGAGAAGAAAAGAAAAAGAAAAAAGAAAAAUUGUACACAAAGAAAAUAAAAAGUUGUUCAAGUUUCAGUUUAAGGGUAUGGUUGGAGGUGCUAGAAGAAUUGUUGGAGAGCUUGAGUUCUUAUAAAUCUAAAGAGAAAAAUUGCUUGCAAUGUAGCUUGGAAUUUGUGUUUCCUAUUCUUUCGUUUCAAUAACCCUAUCCCUAAGCCUCAUUACAUCCAAUAAAAGUCCUCUUGAUUUAAGUUUUGCAAUUAUGACUGUGGAGAAGUGAUCUUUAUGCAAGCUUAUGGUAGAAAUUUCACAUUUGUUUCUUUGAGCGAAACACACUAAAACUAAACACAUAUGUGAUUGAGUGUAUAUCCCGUGAGAAGGUUACUAGUUUGCAUAUGAUGAUUUUAAAAAUAAAAACUUGAAAUUGCAUUAGCAUGGCUAUCUCACACACUACACUUCAAGGAUGAUUCAAAGAUUACUGCUAAUAUUUGAAUAAGGAAGAUGAACUUGGAUUAGUUCCUUGAUGCUAGCUAUGGUUCUUGAUGAUUUGUUUUCUUGAAUGAAAUUCUAUGAGGGUCACAUAGAGGGAAGCUAAUGUUUUUCAUGUUAUUACUUUUUCAUGUUUUCUUUGUUUUGCUCGAGGACUAGCAAAAGUUAAGUGUGGGGGUAUUUGAUCGGAUCAUAUUUAUAUAUAUUUUUACUUCGAAUUCACUCGUCUUUUCUUAGUUAGUUCCUUAUAUUUUUGAGCUAUUUACGUUAUUUUUGUGUUUAUAGGAUUUGUUAUGCAAAGAAAAUAAAAAUAGAACAAAUGAAAUUUUAUGUAAUAAAUUCGUCAAAAAUGUCUGUGUAGAUCAGCUUUUAAAUUAAAUUAAAAAAUAUAUAUAUAUAUAAUAAUGAUAAAUCAUGAUGAUGUUUGAAACAUCAUCAUGAUGGUUUUGUUUUUUGUAGAAGAAAAGAAAGGAACGGAUGGAGAAGAAGAAAAGAAAGGAAUAAAAAAAGAAAAGAAGGAAUAAAAAAAAUUAAAAGAAGAAUAAGUGAGUCCACACAUGAGGGAUCCAAAGAAAGAUAUACGAAAGAAGAAGAAAAAAAAGGAGAAUCCAAGGCGUGAAAGGGAUAGAGGCGGGAGACAGAGAAGACUUGAAAAAGUGGGAAAUAAAAUAAUAAGAUAGAGAGGAGAAAGCAGCUGGCAGAGACGAAAUUGGGGGGGGGGGGGAGAGAUGGAGCUGCCUUUGGCAGCACGGGGUCAGAGAGGAUAGAGAUACGUGAGGGAAAGCAAAUAAGAAAGAAGAAGAAAAAAAAAGUGAGGGACUGACAGAAAAGCAGAGGGCUGCCCUUUGGGCAGCGUGAGGCUGCGCAGAAAUAAAAGGGACAGUGCGGCAUGGCAGGAGAGAAGUGACGCAGGGAGUGAGGGCAGAAGCACAGAAACGCAGCAGAUCUUAUUCUCUCGGUUAAAUCUUUCCAACUUAUGAUUAAUUUUUUGUUUAAUUUUAGAAUAAUGUGUAGCUAAAUUUAUUUUGGCUAGAGGUUAAUUCAAAGCCAUGAAUAUAUUUGUAAUAUGAAUUGAUUACCUUCGGUUGUGAUUUCAUAAGUUGUGAUUUCAAUUUACUUAUCCGUUCGUAUAAAAACUGAUUUGUGUAUGUUGG